ensembl:misc_RNA Metazoa_SRP Metazoan signal recognition particle RNA
GCCCGGCACAGUGGCACGUGCUUGUAGUCCCAGCUACUCGGGAGGUUGGGGUGGGAGGAUCACUUGAGCCCAGGAGUUCUGGGCUGUAGUGCACUAUUCCACUCGGGUGUCCACACUAAGUUCGGCAUCAAUAUGGUGACCUCCUGGGAGCAGGGGACCACCAGGUUGCCCAAGGAGGGAUGAACCGGCCCAGGUCGGAAACGGAGCAUGUCAAAACUUCUGUGCUGAUCAGUAGUGGGAUCACGCCUGUGAAUAGCCACUGCACUCCCACCUGGGCAAAAUAGCGAGACCCAGUCUCUA